CAAAUAUGUGAGCAAUCCAAUUCCAGAAUUCCACUUUCCCAGGACUACUCAUGGUACAAAUUACUGUAUUAGUCAGGGUUGUAGCAGGAAACAGAUGGCACAACCAAAAGUAAUGAUCAAAGAGGGUGUAGGCAAGAAUAACAAAAAUCUAUGGAGAUGGUGCAGCAGCUUAGGCUAAGCAAGAGCAAGAUCUUUCUACUUCUAAAAUGAAAAGGCAGGGAAAAGUUGUUCCUGAACCCAUGAGAUGUAUAUAUGGAGAAGGCUAUGUCAGAAGCUGUGAUGCUGAGGAACACAGCUAUUUCCAAGCCACUGCAGGGCAGGAAGGGAAUCAUCAUGACUUUGUACCAUUUCGUAUUGGAAUUUCUUCUGUGAAGCAAAAACAGUCCCAAAAUGAAGGAUCUUCAGGUGUCAUGGGAACGGCAGAUGACAUUAAAUCAUUAAAGUUGAGAAUAGUAAAUUGCCUCUGGGUUGGUUUGGAAUCAUCCUGAGAUGGAACCUAAAAGACAAAAGCAGAUUACCUUAUUGUUAUAUUGCAUGUUAAUCUUAUGAUCAAUUUCAUAAUCAUGAAAAUAAGUAAGACCAACUUACAUUUCAGUAGUAUUAAAUGACAACAUAGGAUUCCUAGAACAUUGUUUGUAUUUCUUAUAUUAGUGUUGCCAAUACAACAAAUCAAAAAAAAAUGAAAUAGAAAA
rnacentral:lncRNA from 1 species